rnacentral:snoRNA from 1 species
UGGCAAUGAUGAUAAAAAGGCCGGUCUUAUGGCUGCCAUUGACUUCUUUGGUAGUAGAUUGACGAAUUCUUUUCGUGAAAGUGUGUUUUCUGAGCCAG